UUGACCUCAAAUCAGGUAGGAAU
rnacentral:rRNA from 1 species